GAUGAACGCUAGCGGCAGGCCUAACACAUGCAAGUCGAGGGAGAAGCCCUUUCGGGGGCAGAAACCGGCGCACGGGUGCGUAACGCGUAUGCAACCUACCUUUCACAGGGGGAUAGCCCGAAGAAAUUUGGAUUAAUACCCCAUAAUAUUAUUGGAUGGCAUCAUUUGAUAAUUAAAACUGCGGUGGUGAAAGAUGGGCAUGCGUCCUAUUAGCUAGUUGGAGUGGUAACGGCACCCCAAGGCUACGAUAGGUAGGGGUCCUGAGAGGGAGAUCCCCCACACUGGUACUGAGACAGGGACCAGACUCCUACGGGAGGCAGCAGUGAGGAAUAUUGGUCAAUGGUCGGAAGACUGAACCAGCCAUGCCGCGUGCAGGAAGAAUGCCUUAUGGGCUGUAAACUGCUUUUAUAUGGGAAGAAUAAGGCGUACGUGUACGUUGAUGACGGUACCAUAUGAAUAAGCAUCGGCUAACUCCGUG
rnacentral:rRNA from 1 species